rnacentral:misc_RNA from 1 species
UUCUACUCCCUCCAUCCCAAAAUAUAAGGGUUUUUGGGGGGAUGUGACACAUCCUAGUACUACGAAUCUGGACAGACUCCAUGUCUAGAUUCGUAGUACUAGGAUGCAUCACAUCCCUCCAAAAACCCUUAUAUCUAUGAAAGAUCAGAGU